rnacentral:rRNA from 1 species
ACUCCUACGGGAGGCAGCAGUGAGGAAUAUUGGUCAAUGGAGGGAACUCUGAACCAGCCAUCCCGCGUGUAGGAAGACGGCCUUAUGGGGUUGUAAACACUUUUAUACAGGAAGAAACGUACCCUCGUGAGGGUGCUGACGGUACUGUAGGAAUAAGCACCGGCUAACUCCGUGCCACAGCCGCGGUAAUACGGAGGGUGCGAGCGUUAUCCGGAUUUAUUGGGUGUAAAGAGCAUGUAGGCGGUUAUUAAGUCUGGUGUGAAAGCUAGUGGCUCAACCACU